AUGCUGUGGGAAUAUACCUGAUAGAGUAAACAAAGUAAAUAUUGGCUUCUAUCACACAUUGUUCAAUUCCGCCAUAUUAACCUUCAGCGGUAUCUCAAUAAUGAUUCACGGAAACCAAUUUUCAUUUCGAUUAAAUUGUUAAUUUACUAUAAAGAGGGGAAGUCAAUGUACACAGAAAGACAACGGAAUUUUCGUAGAGCGAAGGAAAUGUUAGAGUGUUUGGAGAAAUCUGGCUGGGUCAGCUAUCCGGAUACUUACGCUAGGAGCAUAAGACCAACGUUUCCCCUGUCCACAUUGAAAAGUCUGAGAAAAUCUCUCUGUAAUGUAACACCUGAAUAGAAAUCCGAAACAAAGACCAUGGAUUCGAUGAAGUCCCAACAUGAAGACGAGGAUCAUAAUGAUAAUAUUUACCCAGUCCAGCUGAGCUGUACCCGGGGCCCGAGGCACGAUCGACCGAGUGGAAAUCUUCAAGCCACUUAACCGCCCAACAUAAUGGAAGACAAGGAAUUUGACCAUUGUGGAUGCACAGUGUGAAAUAGACUAGGCCGUGUCAAAUUGAUUCGCAAUUGACCAACUAAUUGUGGUCACACACGGUACGUUCUACUGCGAGAAAACAUCUUAAUUGAUACUUGUAAACAUGAGCACAGACAACAGCAAAAGGUGAGGAGAGAGUGACGCGCCUUGUCUCAUACCCGCACGGUCGGAGAAAAACGACAGAAAAACGUCUCCUGUCUUCGUGAUACACAUGUCGUUCUAAGCUUCUCUCCGGGAUAUGCUCUGGCGUACACAGGACAUGUGGAGUUAUUAUAUGUUGUCUUGCUAUUUCUGAUGGCAAUCUCACCGUUCCACUGUAAUUGAUAUGUAGGUUCUGUCAGGUGAAAAUUUGGAUUCAAUUUGUUUAACAAUUUGAGGGAAAAUAAACAAUUAAAAACUUG